rnacentral:lncRNA from 10 species
UCCUAGGCACAAGACAACAUCCCACUGCCCGAGUGUGGGCCUCCUCCUUUCUGAAGCUAAGCUCGCAGGCUCCGUCUUAUCCUUCCCAUCUGCUCCAGCUCCUUGCCAGUUCAUUCCAUCUCCCUCUCCCUAAUCUUUCAAAUGCUUAGAACAGUGCCUGCUAAGGCUUUGUUCUCUACUGGCUUUUCUCUCUCUGGCUGAAAAUGUACACAUAUGCCAUUUUUUGAGAAAAAACAAAAAAACAAAAAACCAACAAUUUGAACCUACUAGAGCUAUUCUAUAUUUCUUCUUCCUUUCACAUUUAUACUUCUCAAAUUAAAGUCCCUAUACUCUACUGAAACUUCACUUAAUAAGAUUACUAAUGGCCUUCUUAUUGCCAGAUUCAAUAACUAUUUUAGGCUCAUUCUGUUUGUUCUGCAGCCUCUGACAUCACUGACUAUGUGCUCUGUUUGCAAAUGCUUCUUUGACGUCCGUCUGGGUCUUCUCCCAGUUCUUUGGCUGCUUUGCCACAUUCUUUCAAACCAGAUGUUCUUCAACAAAUAAGCCCAGCUCUUCCCAUUGCCUCUCUUGGAGAUCUUGAUGCUUCCCAUGGCUUCAAAUAUUAGCUCUAAGGAGGUGACCAUAUAUCUAACUCCAGUUCUGACUUCUCAGUAUCAGUCCUUCUUCUUGAGUUUCAGCCAUCCAUUUCCAACUACCAGUCAGGGAUUUCCAAUUGGCCUUUCAAUCUAACGAUGUCUGAAAAGUCUGAUAUUCCACCCACAGACAGCUCCCUAUUCUAGUUUUCCCUCUGUAGUGAAAGAUACCAAGUGUGGGGAGACUGCAUACUAGGCAGGAGAAAUCUGCUCAAAAAAAGAGUCAGGGCUGGGCACAGUGGUUCAUGCCUGUAAUCCCAGCACUUUGGGAAGCUGAGGCGGGUGGAUCACCUGAGGUCAGGAGUUUGAGACCAACCUGGCCAACAUGGUGAAACACCAUCUCUACUAAAAAUACAAAAAUUAGCCAGGCGUGGUGGCACGUGCCUGUAAUCCCAGCUACUCAGGAGGCUGAGGAAGGAGAAUCACCUGAACCCAGAAGAUGGAGGUUGCUGUGAGUUGAGAUCGCUCCACUGUACUCCAGCCUGGGUGACAGAGCAGGACUUCGUCUCAUUAAAAAAAAUAGAGGCAGGCAAAAUCCUUUGAAUUUUCCAUGAUGACACCUCUUGCAGACACCUCUUCUUCUCCAUUUUUACUGUACUACCCCAGUCUAGCCCUGUGCUAUAACAUCCUAACUGGUCACCCUGCCACCACUCACCAACCGUCUCCACCAAUCUAGCAAUCUAUUUUAUAUUAAAAUUAAAAUAUUGCUUGUACUAUAACACUUACAAAGAUCAAAUCCAAACUCCAGACAGUUUGGACUUUCAGAAGUUUGGAAGUCUCUGAGAGUUGGGCCAAAGCCUACUACCCUUGUGCCCUGCCUUCAAACCCUCCUGUUUCAGAGAGCUCUGUCCCAACCAAACCAAUCCACUCAGUGCCCUCUACACACCUUGUAGUCUCCCUGUCUUGCAUGAACAGGUCUCUCCCCUCCUCUAAGAUUAUCCAAAUGCUAUCUGCCCUUCAAAUAUCUGCUUAAUCCCACCAUAAGUUCUUCCAACAACAUUUUAGCCUACAGUAUUUUUUUCAUUAUCAUUAGCAGGCACUGUAUCAUUAGCAGGCACUUUAUAGAUAGUAGCUAACUUUAUUUAAAUCUCACAAUA